rnacentral:piRNA from 1 species
UGUAAAUCCAAAUUUUUAUAG